GAUCGAAACUCAUAAAGCAAACCUUUUCAUUUCUGAUUUGGUAAAAGGAAUACUUUUCAUUCAAAAAUGAGUAAAUAUAUUUUUCCUGAAAUUGCACUAGAAAAGAUAAACAUCAGAGAUUCAGCCCAAUUUGGCAACUCCGUACUAUCGGAAUGUUUACCUUUGGAAUCUGUAUGAAUUUGUAAUUAUUUUCGAAAUUAGCGUUACAGGCAGUGUUUCACAGUCUAAAACUUCUGAAAUUUAUUCGAAGAAAGUUUUCAUAAUGUGUCGACUCAUACCACUGGUUUCAAUUAUAUGGUUUCAAUGGAUAAAUAUUUUUUUUGUUAUAGCCUUCCCAAUCGAGAUUCGAAAUGAUGGGUUUUCUCUUUGAGGUUUGGAAAUUGAUCGGAAAAAUCCUAGAUUCAUUUAUAUAUGCCCGAAUCAUUUCAACUGGAUAUAAUUUGUGAUAAGAUUAGUAAACGUUAGCCCAUUGCCCUUCCAACUCCAUACAUUUGAGAGCAAAGAGACUAAGACUUCAAGCACUUCUCUGAUUAAAAGUAUGAGUACUUUAUCAGAGGACACUUUUCCGAAGAGGAAACCUAGGGCAAAAUUAGUUACCAAUUAUUUUGUUGUUAUGAUGCCUACAUACAAUAUACAUGAGUAAAACCUCCAGACCCUCCCCAACCUUUUGAAAAGAAGCAUCAGAAGAAAUUGUUCAAUCAGAGAAAAUAUUUACAGAGAAAACAUUGAACCUAAAGUUUCUGCAAUCAAACGAAAAAAACCUAUGUUUGGGACAUGCCUGAAGAAGAAUUCAGUU